CUGAAAGCGGCAUCUCCCAUCAGGGACAGGAAGCCUCCCCAAGGAGCUCAAGUCAAUGCAGAGGCCUGAGGAUGGGGUGCUUCUGUCCACAGAGGCUGUGUUAGGAGCGAGAGGGAACAUAUGACCUCAUCAGCCUGCGUUGAAGCUGCUACAAGUUGGAGCGUAGUUGUACUCCUGGAAUCCCAAGCUUGCACCCUGAAUCUGGAGCUUGUCUUCAGCACCCUGCAUGCCUCUCUCGGUCACUUCGUGACUCCUGUUUGGGUUUCCCAUACUCCAAGACCACCUCUUCUGGCAAGCCAGCACACUUCCAUGGCCUUCCAGCCACAGCACCUCCUGGACCUGGCUGCAUCACCAUCUAGGGACAACCAGCUGCUCUCACCAAACCUCAGAGGAAAGCCAGACUGCCUGGCUGGCACUCAAGGUCAUAACGUAGCCCCUGCUGAGUAGCCGUCCAACCAGGAUCUCAAAGCACUACACAGGAGUGGGAGGGAGGCCAGAGCUUAGGCCCGAGAGCUAGGCUGCCCCUAGGUCUGAUCCCAGCUUCAGCUUUUCAAAGUCACAUAACCAGAGUCUCAGCUUCUGCGCUGAAGAAAGGUGAAGAGGGCCGUCCCACUGCAGAGUUCAGUGUUUUCUAGCAACUUUCGGGGGCCCCUGAACCCCGGAGGUAAGCCCACUUGCCUGCACUCUGGAGGCCUUCCCAUCACACUCCGCGAGGCCAGCAGCACACGCUGUAUGCCCAAGGCUCAGACAAGGCCUGGAAUUCAGUGGAUGCCCCCAUGUCUAGAGGGAAUCCAGAAGAUGGCAGGGCUUGCCCUAGGCACUGAUAUCCACAGCAGUUAACAACUGUGGCUGACAACUCUUGAGACAGAGCACUCUGGGGAUCAGACUGACACUACUCCCAAUACAAAUGGCCCUCACCCCCACUGCUGGAGGUUGGGAGGGGUUCUGCCAGAUGUGGGGGCACCCUGGGCUUCCCAAGUAGACUGACACUAUUCCUUUUGGCUAGCACAUUUGGUUUAAAGGCUGUGUCUAGAUGACCUCAUUGUGAUUACCAUUAAGGUCAAGUCCACUAGAGACUUACCACUCACAGGACUCCUGCCUGUAAGCCCACAGGCCUAAACCAAACAAGGCCCAGAAACAGCCUGCUCUGUGUGACCUUGAGAGAGGUGUGGUCUGCAUUUUGGUCCAACCUGCGAAGCUUGUAAAUGUGCUUUCGAGGGUGUAGCAAUCUCUGGUUGCCAUGGGAACCCAUAGGAAGCCAUAACUGCCUGAGAAUCCCAGUGGCUGUGAGCCUCCUAACAGCUUUGGCAGUAAGUGGAGAUGAGUAAGAAAUAACUGUAGAAUCUCACUUUAAGGGGUGGUGUGGUGAGCUGGAACUCGGCGAGAUUAAGAAACCACGACUUGCCAAGGGUACACACAUCCAUGGCUGCUGGGUCAGCUGUAUUGACCGCAUGGCAGGAAGGCACAGGGCCAACAGCACACGUGUAAACACUCUGGGCACCCUGAAGGCCAGGGGAAGGCACCACUUUUCAGGUUUACUGCCGGGUGGACCUGGCGACAACUGUGGUCAUAUAGCUAUAAAUUCCAGAACUGAAUCCAAUUUUCUCAAACGCCAAAGAAGCAGCUGCUCUUCUCCUGGGCGCAAUGCCGGGCCUCCUGUACUGUUCCUGGCACCGCACACACACUUCCCCUUAAAGAGAAGUGGCCCGCGAGUCGGCGACGCCCACGUUGCAGAGGAGAAAAUGGAUCAUCAGAGGGUUCCGUGUCACACAGGAAGUGGCAGCUGGUGGGGCUUGGAGGCCCUGGCCAGAGCCCAAGCCCAGCUCCCCUCCCCCAGGCUGGUGGGCGCUUUCUCUUGAUGCUUCAGGGGGCAGCUGGGGAGUGGAGAAGGUGUGUCUGCUUGUUUGCCCAGUCCAGUCAUCCCCCUGUGGAUGGCCCGGAUGAGAGGAUGGGCACCCAUUCACCAUCUGCUCCCAUUCUCCCAUUCACACACAGCAGCUGCCUCCUCCUCCCCCUUCUGGAGGCAUCUCGCUGAGACAACCUCACACCUUGGAGGGCAGGAAGGAGAGACUCAGGUAGAGUGUGCACCCUCAGGAGUGCCCUUCACACACACACACACACACACACACACACACACACACACACACACACACACACUCUCGGAGAAACCCAAGCUGGGAGAGGACGUGGACAGACUCCACUGGACUCCUUGUGCGACAUGCUGGGAACCGUGAGAGGAAAGCUCUGGGCUCAGUUCCCUGAGGUGUCCAGGAGAGGAGAGCUGCCUGGGCUGGAGCACAGCCAGGCUCAAACGGCACCAAGCUUGGGCACUGGCCCGAUGACAGUGAGAAACGGUUUAAGACCUUGGCAGGGCCACUGUGUACAAAGACGCUUCGGUCGAGGGCUGGGGGUAGAUGGUGAGCUCCCACUGCUGAGCAAGCAUCCAGGAAGAAAGGAAUAGCCCAUCUCAGCAGGUAUGGGCAAGGGUGUGGGGGGCAGGGGACCAGCUAUUUUUGGCAACUUGGUCAGAGCAGAGGGAAGUAGGGAAGAAGGGAAGUUCCUCUGGAUCUAUGUGUCAUGCCCAGCUGCCAUGUGUCUUCCAGCCAGCUUCUCAACACCACUCUGAGGUAAGGAGUUUUGUUCCCAUGUUAAAAGAGGAAACUGAGGCUCAGGGAAGGUGGUGUCUUGCUCACAAAGAAUCCUAGAACCUGACUCCACAGCUGACAUUCUCCCCCGCUGCCUUAAGCAUCGGUUGUGCUGGGCCCUCAGGUCCGCAGCAAUCUGAACCACAGGCCGAAAGUGAGGGAUCGGCUUCUGCUAGGAUGAGGAGGCCUGGGCAGGCGCAGGUAUACAUCUGCUGUCUAGCUCAAAACAACACUAAAGGGAGAGAGGCAACAGGGACAAGCCAGACAUGCGAUGAGAAAACAUAUCUACAGGAGACUCCAGGGCCCAACUCCAACAGCACCUGGCUAAGAAGCCUGAUCCCAGGUGAGCGUUGCCUAGGAUACAGGAGCUUGGAAGAGAGAUGCUCCUAAGCAGUCUGAGGAGCCUCCCCACCCCCCACCCCCGACCUGUCCCUCUACCUCCAAGCUGCUGAGCAACCCUAAGAAUUGGUGUCUGGUUCCCCAGAACCCACCUAAAUGCUGGGUGGGUGGGUUGGCAAGCCUUGGAAGGUGGAGAUGGAAUCCCCCAGACAAGCUGGCUAGCAAGACUAGCCUUUAUCAGCUAGCUCUGGGUUUGACUGAGAACCUGGUUCACUGACCUGACCUCAAGUCAGGGGCCUCCACAAGUAUCCUCAUCUACAUCAACAUGUAUCCACACGUGUGCCCACACAUACAAACUGGAAACACACACACACACAUACACAAUGGGAAAUAAAAUCAGUUAUAGCCAUUCGGGUUACACAGUGACAUCCACUCAACCAUCAUGGUGUCUGUCUGUCUGUCUGUCUCUCUCUCUCUCUCUCUCACACACACACACACACACACACACACACACACACACACCCUCACACACCUAUGCUUGAGUGAACCAGGGCCAUUCCUGCCAUUUUGAGCAUCACUCAGGCAUGGGACAGGAAGGUGAAAAAUGUCCUUGGGCAGCUUUAUUAUUUGUCUGGGAUGGGAAGCUGCCCUCUGACCUUUUGGGGGGCCUGAGGGCAAAGAGGUGACAUUCAGUAGGGAAGCGGGCAGGCUCUAGGGUAGGGUGGGCUGGGAAGAGGGAGGUCAAGGGCACCUGGGACUGUUGUGGAAGAGGAAAUCGGCCUCUCUGGAAAGCACAGACCAGAAUGAGGCAGAUCUGGGCUCUGUCCUCCCCCUCACACUGGCAGUGACCUUUGGGCCACCACUUCACCUCUCAGAGUGGCAAUACCUAGCAGUAAAAGGCAGAUAAUGGCACUGACCUUACGAGGUGGCUGGGAGUGCUGGGGCAGAUAAUGGCUGUCAAGUACCGGGCAGGGAGCUGGCAAAUGGCGGCAAUAAUCAUUAUGCACUUGACAGAGCAGUGCAUGGGGCACCAUCCAGGCCCACGCAGGCUCAAAGGCAGGGCUGGGGAGGGAGAGGUGUGGGACCUGCCUGAGUGGCGCCUGUGGGAAGAAUGUCCGUCCUUCCAUCAGCAGGUCCCGGGGGGCAGAAGAUUUGGGGUGACAUUCCUGGGGGUGGUAAGCUACAUUAUAGUCCAGCCAAGGCAGCUGUGAAGUAACCCCACUUGGAGCUUAGGCUGAGAACUGCAAGGGAUCGGGCUUCUCCAGCCAGCGGAGUUACCCUGCAAGAGGAGGGGGCCCAGACAGGGAGGGUUGGCACAGCUCAGAGUUGAAGGAACCCUUCUGGAAAACAGGCAAGCGGCUGGCAAUCCCGCCCCCUGGUGGUCACAGGCAUUCUGUGUAGCCUUUGCUUUAUAUGAUUUUUGUUGUUUUUGUUUUUCUAGACAGCGUUUUCUCUGUGCAACAAUCCUGGCUGGUCUCGAACUCAGAGAUCCAUGCCCCUGCCUCACGAGUGCUGGGAUUAAAGGCACUUGCCAUGAUUUUAAGGACCUACUUUUAUUAUUUUAAAAUUACGUGUAUGUGUCUGUUGUGCAUGAGUACACUGGAUCCCCUGAAGCUGGAGUUACAGGUAGUUGUGAGCCACUGAACCCACCCGACACAGGUGCAGGGAAAGGAACUAGGGUCCCCCACAAGAGACCACAUUUUUAGCCACUAAGUUCCCUCUCCAGCCCUGCCUUUCUGAAGUUCUUCAAUACUCAGAGACAGUUAGGAAGCCCUGGGACAGACAGCAACCUGAUGAAAACAGAGGUCCAAGGCUACUUGGACUAGCUUUGACAUUCAGCCCUACUGCUGCUAUGAUUACCAGCUCUGCCACUUAGAGCAGGGUUACCCUGGGCAGGUAAGUUUAGUUAUCUCUGUGUCUCAGAUGCUUUAUUAAUUUGAGACAAGGUCUCUCUACAUGGCCCUGCUGUCCUGGAACUAGCUGUGUAGAUCUGGCUGGCCUCGAACUCAGAGACCCUCUUGCCUCUGCCUCUUGAGUGCAGUACCUCAUAGUGGAGAUACCACAAUCAGGCCCAGGGAUCUACUCCAGGUAUUUGGGAAAAACAGCAGCUGUCCAUCCUGCAUUCCUGGGGUCCAUGCUGUUUGGGACAUUGUUCAAGAGCUGGGAUCUGGCAACUGCCCUUAUGGGGGCUGGAAUCUGGUUUGCAUGCAGCCAAUUGCUUUUCCCAUGUUGAUUUGUCAAUUAAUCAGAUGGGGGGGAGAGGAGACAUGGGGGGGGAACACAGGAGGAAGUUCAAAACUCUCUUGAGUUUACUCCACGCAGGGACUGUCUGAGCAAGCCAACAUGCUGCUGUUCUACCUGGCUGCAGACUAUCCCCAACUCCAGAAGAGGCUGCUGACUUGUGUAGUGGGUAGCCAUUCCAGCUUUGAUCUGGAAGUUCCAACCCCCAUUGAGACUUCGGCAACUGUCACGCCUACAAGGCGGGGCCAAGGGAGGCGCCUGGGGACCCGAGAUCUGGAUCGGCGGGCGCUCUCUCAGUUGCGGGACCCUGGACGGUGGAGGUGGACCGAGCAGAGCUCCAGAGAACACCGCUGGACUGUGAUACACCUUCCCCAGACUCCGCGACCUACCUAUCCCUUAAUUUGUAAGUUAUGCUAUUAAAUAAAUCUCCCUUUAACUA